GGCUAUAUAAGCCCGAGCCGGUGGGCCCCAGGCCUGGUGAACCUCUCCAAGCCCAGCACCUCCGUCCUCUGAGAUGCCAAGACCACCGGACCAAGUUCGGCCUGAGACCCUCCAGAACCCGUGACUGCGCCCGUAUCUCUGCACCUGGCAGGGGCUGCCAGGAGCCCUAAGGGCAAACAGCAAAGUGAAUGUGUGAAGUCAAUGCUGAGCGUCAACUGGGACGCCCUGGUGGCAGAGUUAACUCCCAGCCAUGCUGACUGCUGAGAUGGAAAAUCAGAGUGACCCCAAGACUCCUCAGGGUCCAGGACCCUGUCAGAUGGACCACCCACAGGAAUCAGACCCUCAUGGACACCACCUCGCCACAGUUGUCACCAUGUCAUGUUUUUGAGGAAACCUUCAGCAGCACGGGGGAGACAAAGAGCUGUGCAUAGUUACAUUUGAAGCACACGACUAAAGCAUGCGGACGUCAAUGACUGAGCUUUGAGUGAAAAGCAGACCACGUGAAUGCUCAGGACGUCUUGCGGCCAUCCCGCUGGCGUUUGCAGCCGAGGCCCCAGGAGCGCCCAGCGGCCAGCUCUCCGCUCCGACACAAGGCACCUGGAAGCUCAGGGACUCGCCUGCCUUCAGCAUCGUCAUCUGAUUGUUAGACUCUACUGAUGAAUGAGGACCUACAUCUGACAAAGACUGCGCGAGAAAUACGGAAUGAUGAUCCCAGGGCGUGGCGGCCCCACGUGCCUCUCCCCACACUCACCACAUGCGUCCCCACAGGUAGCCGGACUUCCCUUCUGCCAAUGCCACAGGAAAGCACACUCCAAGAAGCCUGCCCUGCUGAAGGGGAGGGCUGCUUCCACCUGCCGGGCCCAACCUAGCUCAAUAAUGUCACAAAGAAUUAAGCACCACAUCCUCAAAUAACUGAACAAAUGCACCAAAAUUUUAGAACAGGUAUGUUGAAGUGGGUGGAGAGGGGAGGAAGGAGAGGACAUGAUCAGAUGGAGAAAUGGCACCAAUGAGGGAGGGGAAUCAUAGCAACCUGCUGAGAAACAUGUGACUCUUGCACUUUAAAACUGG